UCGGGAAUAUUGGGCAAUGGAGGAAACUCUGACCCAGCAAUACCGCGUGAAGGACGAAGGUCUUCGGAUUGUAAACUUCUGUUAUAAAGGAAGAAAAAAAUGACGGUACUUUAUAAGUAAGCACCGGCAAACUACGUGCCAGCAGCCGCGGUGAUACGUAGGGUGCGAGCGUUGUCCGGAAUGACUGGGUGUAAAGGGUGUGUAGGUGGCUUAUUAAGUUAAAAGUGAAAGCCCGGGGCUCAACUCCGGAACUGCUUUUAAUACUGGUUGGCUUGAGUGUGGGAGAGGUAAGUGGAACUCCUAGUGUAGCGGUGGAAUGCGUAGAUAUUAGGAAGAACAUCAGAGGCGAAGGCGACUUACUGGAACAUUACUGACACUGAAACACGAAAGCGUGGGGAGCAAACAGG
rnacentral:rRNA from 2 species